ACUACUCAAUUUCAAACCCUUUGUUGUGGUUUGAAAUUGGAUUUGGGUGUUGUUGUUGCGGGAAAACGACUCAUCCUAAAUGCAUUAGUGAUCUUGCCACUGAUCAUGAACAAUGUGAUAAGAAAAAGCAUUGUUGAGAUUGGAGGUUGGGGUUGCUUCUAACCGUCGAAAGACAAAAACGCAUAUAUGCGGU
rnacentral:misc_RNA from 1 species